CCGGAAUUGAAACUCGGAAUAUCUUCAUCGGAACGCCACUCGCUCCCAUUGUAGAGAGAGAGAAAGCGAAAUUAUGUUCUAGAGAGAGAAAACGCAGAGAGUGUGUGCGUGUCACUUCUAGGGUUAGGGUUUGUUUAAUCAGCUCCAACGACUAAGCUUAUCAUCUAAUAAACCACACGACUUUAGCUUUUUCAUCGUGUAUAUGCAUAUAUAUAUAUGUAUUUGUGUAUGCUGCAACUGUAAGUUUCUUCUGCGUCCUCUCUUCCUUCGUUUCUAGGGUUUCACUUUUUUCAUCUUCUCGGAUUACGAGGCUUCCAGUUCAAGUUGAACCAUCUAAAGUUUGGAGCUGAAGUUAUUUGCUGAAAAAAAAUCUAUUUUUUUCUGUGAAACCGAGAAUUUCUAAAGUAAUCGGUGAGAAAUUAGAGUAUUUUUUGUGGUGUUUUGUGUAAGGAAGCUGAUGAAGUGUAAAAUAAGAAGUUUAGUUGAGCUCCUACUGGUGUAUUUCUAUAUGGAAGUUGGUAUGGUUGCCGGGAUUGGGUUUUCGUGUGGUGUUUUCAAAAGGUAGUAGUCUUGGAUUGCAGAAAAUGUUGACCAAAAGUUGACCUUUAUUUAAUAAAUUGAUCAGGGCAUAGAGGUUGAUGCUUUAGUGGUUUGAGGGAGGUUUGAGAUGAGGCACUCGGGCAUAAUCUGAGGGUUGCAACAUGAGCUGCAGUGAGAACAGAGGAAGAGAAGAGGGGGAAUAUGAAAAUUCCAUUGUGCGCAAAUCAGUAGAGGGCAGCCCUAAAUUGGUGUCGCAGAAUGGAUCAAUCACUGCCCCUCAAUUAACUAUUGAUGAAAGUUUGUUGGUUGACCCUAAAUUACUAUUUAUUGGAUCAAAAAUUGGUGAGGGGGCGCAUGGGAAAGUUUAUGAAGGAAGGUACGGCAACCAAAUUGUUGCCAUUAAAGUUCUAAAUCGUGGGAAUACUUCGGAUGAAAGAGCUUCCCUUGAAAAUCGUUUUGCCAGGGAAGUCACUAUGAUGUCAAGAGUAAAACAUGAGAACCUUGUCAAAUUUAUUGGAGCUUGUAAGGAUCCCUUAAUGGUAAUAGUUACAGAACUAUUACCAGGGAUGUCACUCCGGAAGUAUUUAGUUGGUAUACGUCCAAAUCAAUUAGACAUCCGUGUGGCAUUAAGUUUUGCCCUUGACAUUGCUCGAGCCAUGGAUUGUCUACAUGCUAAUGGGAUUAUACACAGAGAUCUAAAGCCUGACAAUUUGUUGCUUACGGCCAAUCAGAAGUCUGUGAAGCUUGCAGAUUUUGGUCUUGCGAGGGAAGAAUCUGUGACUGAGAUGAUGACUGCAGAAACUGGAACUUACCGUUGGAUGGCUCCCGAGUUGUACAGCACUGUGACAUUGCGUCAGGGGGAAAAAAAGCAUUACAAUAACAAGGUUGACGUUUACAGCUUUGGUAUUGUCUUUUGGGAAUUAUUAACCAACCGAAUGCCAUUUGAAGGCAUGUCCAAUUUGCAAGCUGCUUAUGCUGCUGCUUUUAAGCAAGAAAGGCCAAGUCUUCCGGAGGAUAUAUCCCCUGAUCUCGCAUUCAUCAUACAGUCAUGCUGGGUUGAGGAUCCUAAUAUGCGACCCAGUUUCAGCCAGAUCAUCCGCAUGCUAAAUGCGUUUUUCUUCACACUCAAGCCACCCUCACCGUCGUUUUCAGAAUCGAAUACCACUGAAGCAGCAAUGACAAGCAAUGGUACCAUGACUGCCUUCUCUACACGUGCAAAAGGCAAAUUUUCUUUUCUUCGCCAACUCUUUGCUGCAAAGAGGACUAGGAACUCACAAUAGCUGGUAAAUUUUUGAGAAGUUUCUUCUUGUUCCUACUCAAGCUCAAAAAGCAUGCAAUCGGAAAUAUAAUUUAAGUGAGUUUGUGAUCUGAUUAUAUAAAUCAUGAUGAUUAGUGAUGAAAAUGCCGAACUGAAAUGAUGUUAAUGGUGAAAGUCAUUGAGAAUAAAUAGAGAUACAGGGGCUUGUAAACCUUUAGGAGACCUUAUUGUAAAGGAGACAAAUGUUUGCAGACAUUUUCUGUCCAUAUAAAUGUUACCAUAUUCAGAAAAUGCAUACAGUAGUGCAGUUCAGUGACCUAUAUUUUCUGUUCUAGUUGGUUGAGAUUUGAUCUGUCAAUUUGUCUGGAAAAUAUUUCCACCACUAGGUUUGAAGGGUAAGUUUCUAAUAAAAUUACAAAUUGUUUUGGCCUUCUGUUUUAAUGGCAACCGAAUUCUAUGGCUUUGCUAUUCUCUCAACUCAACUUGAUAAAGUUUUGUCCCAACUAUUUGUUGAUGAAAGUGAGUAUUUGUUGUUGGAGUCAAUAAAUAGGAUACACUUGAUCCUUUUCUGUCACAGAGAAGUGGAGAAAGAGUUGCAAAAAAAGAAAUGGUUGUCAAAUGUCAGUAAGACCUAAGCAGUGAAGAUGGAUGUGAUUUGUCUUUCGAGUUUUGGGAACUCCUUAUUGUGGCCUAUUUGAGGGAAAGGAAGGACCCUUUUGCUCAUCAUGUUUGGUUCAGUAGAAAGAAAAUAAGGAAUGAAAGGAGCAUUAUCCAUAGAGCUUCUCCGGCGGGGAAAAGAUGUGAAAAAUAAAGAGAAGAUGCCUCCUUCCUCUUUUUGUUCCACCUUUAUAGAGGAAGAGAUAAGAAGAAUCUGACUUUUACCCCUUCCUUUGUCAUUCUCUUUCCCUCUUCCAGACCUUCCAUCCCUCUCCCGUUUCCUACCCAUCAUCUUCCAUCCUUAGAUUCUUACUCCCUACCAAAGAGGCACUGGGACUUGUCCGUGUCAUUAGAAUUUCCCAGUGUAUAUAUUUUUAACAUCUAACAUCAUUGUAACAUGGCCUGUAUACUAGUGCUUUAACAUGAUUGCGUAUAAAGUUAUAAACAGUGUUAUAUUGGCUUA